ACGUUAGCGGCGGACGGGUGAGUAACACGUGGGUAACCUACCUAUAAGACUGGGAUAACUUCGGGAAACCGGAGCUAAUACCGGAUAAUAUUUCGAACCGCAUGGUUCGAUAGUGAAAGAUGGUUUUGCUAUCACUUAUAGAUGGACCCGCGCCGUAUUAGCUAGUUGGUAAGGUAACGGCUUACCAAGGCGACGAUACGUAGCCGACCUGAGAGGGUGAUCGGCCACACUGGAACUGAGGCACGGUCCAGACUCCUACGGGAGGCAGCAGGG
rnacentral:rRNA from 1 species